AACGUAGGUGGCGAGCGUUAUCCGGAUUUACUGGGCGUAAAGCGUGUGCAGGCGGGGCCUCAAGUGGGGGAUGAAAUCGCUCGGCUUAACCGGGCGCGGUUAUGCCAGACUGAGGUUCUGGAGUGCGGGAGAGGGGCGUGGAAUUCCGGGUGUAGUGGUGAAAUGCGUAGAGAUCCGGAGGAACCCCAGAGGCGAAGGCGGCGCCCUGGCCCGACACUGACGCUCAGACACGACAGCAUGGGGAGCGAACGGG
rnacentral:rRNA from 1 species